AGUUCUCUCUUGUUUCCGUCUGCU
rnacentral:sRNA from 1 species